UGUUUUCUUACAACUAAAUGAUAAAACUGAGGCUGAAACACAGGUGUUUUCUGCCUGGCCUUUUUCUAGAAUGCACCUCUCUCUGAAGAUUAUAGAGAACUAUGAAGAAAAGGAGAUCGUGGGAAAUAUAUGAUUGAGUCAGUAUGAUUUGGAGGAAGCUCAAGUGCUUGCUGUGGUUGCAGAGAAGUGAGGGGACUUUACAUUCCUGGCUGGACAGGUUGAACUCUGGGAUUGGAGAGGUGGUGGGGGAGUGGAGAGGAGCAGAAGGAACAGACACAGGGAGAGACAUUUCAAAGGAUUGUCAACAGGGCAUGAUGAUAACACAGGGAGAGCAAGUCCAGCCUGUCUCCUGGUGCUGCCCCGAGUUGAUGACUGCAAUUAAACUGCCAGACUUUACAGCCUGCUCUGCACUGUGUCCUCCUGGCAUCUUGGGGACUUUUUCACGGUUGGGGCCACAGGGGAGGUUAGAAGCUGCUCGCUCUCUCCAUUGCCAAGCACUGGCCGGUCAAUGGAGUUGGGGAGAAGGAGGCUAAUUCUCAACAGCCUGUUAGUGACAGCCAUUCUCUCUCCAGCUUAUCUAAAGAGGAUUUUAUUUCAGAAGAAGGCUGAGAGCUUGUUAGAAAGGCAAGUUCUUGGGCCCCACCCCACAUAUACUGAAUCAGAGACCCUGGGAGUGGGACCCAGCAAUCUGUCUUAAUAGACCUUCUAGGAGAUUCUGGCACUAAGGAAAGAGACCACAGGUCUUGUCUAUCUCUGUAGUUGGCUGCGUCUGGGCCAGAGUAACUGCUUGUUGAAAUGAUCAGAGAUCUCAAAUGAGGUCAUGCAUGUUGGGGUGUGUGUGUGUGCAUGUGUGUGUGUUGUGUAUCUUUAUGUGUGUAUGUGUUUGGUCUAGGGUCCAGCACAUAGUAGGUGUUCACUCUUGGGGGUGGGAAUAAUCACUCUAAUGUCCGUGUUUGAGGACUGCAUUGCUGGUGACCGCUGAGCCUGCAGAGGAGGAAGAGAGCAGGGCAGAAGAUUCAGGAGGGGGUGCAUGGCAACUUCUGAUGUCACAGUGCCCCCCUUCACUCCUGACUUCUGGCUCAUGGGUCACUUUGGGGCAGGGGCAAGAGGAUGGUUAGCUGCAGCAAAGAGAGAGCCAAAGAGAAGUGGGAUUGAGAGCACAGGGGACAGCUGGAGACAAAAUAUAAACGCCGGGCAGGGGAACAGCCAAGAUAGUGCAGGAAGGAUGGGGAAUCACAGAAACUUCUCAGGUAACAGUCUGGGCCAGAACACUGGGUGUCCCCAGAGAGGGAAGUCGAGGGUGAAAGUGAAAAGGCUCACACUCAACUUCCAGGAGAAGGUCAGGUCCUUCAUCAAAGAAUAAUCCUGCCAUUAAAGGGUCCCCAGAGUCCCCAGCAUUACUUCCCUUAAGUGGAUCCCAAUCCUGGUCACCCAAUCCCCUCAGGACUUUGUAAAACGUACUGAUGCCCAACCCUUGCCAACAAGCUCGUCCCAUUCCUAGGAUUCUGAUUUACUUUGUCUGCAGAGGGCUUGAGCUCAGGUAUGUCUAUAAUGACAGCCAGGUGAUUCUAUUGUACACUCAGGGCUGACCACUCUACUUAAGCAAAACACACACACACAAAAUAUACCCCCGUUCCCCCCCAUCCCCUGGGGGUGAUGGGUUGGGGAUGAGGGUGAUGAUGUUCCCACAGAUGCAUUACCUCUCCACAGAGCUCAGGACCAAAGGAAUGUUUAGCCAGAACUGGUAAAUACCUUUAAAAAAUUAUUAAGCACCUAUAGAAACCUAUAGGGACAAAGGUGACUAAGAGGAUUUUUACAAAACAAUAAUAAUCAAGUCACUUAUUUAAAAAUAAUUAAUCAUGCUUGUAAUCCCACCACUUAAGGAGGCUGAGGCAGGAGGAUUGUUUGAGGCCGAGAACUCAAGACCAGCCUAGGCAACAUAGCAAGACCCCGUUUCUACAAAAAUAAAAAUAAAAAUAAAUUAGCUGGGCAUUGGUGUGCACCUGUAGUCCCAGCUACUCUGGAGGCUGAGGCAGGAGGGCCCCUUGAGUCCAGGUGUGUGUCUGUAUUGAGUGUGUGUCUGUGUGAGCCCAGGAGUUUGAGGCUGCAGUGAGCCAUGAUCGUGCCACUGCACUCCAGCCUGGGUGUCAGUGAGACUGUCUCUAUAAAAGUAAAAAUU
rnacentral:lncRNA from 1 species